CAUAGAGAGGUGGUGCUUUAACCGGAUAACUUUGUCCCAUUCUUUCUACUCUUUUAUCCCUUCCAAAAAAUGAUAUGUAAACGAGACCAGUCUUCGGUCACCGCUCGGCAGGAGCGCAUGCAUAACUAUUAAGACCGCUCGGCGCACAUUUAACAACAACAAAAAAUUUAAUUUUUAACAGAAAAAUAAACGGUGUCAAAUGUUCCUAAUUAAAAUUAAAUGGAUUCGCUAAUUAAUUUAAAACAAAAUACAUAAAAAAAAAUGUAUUUAAAAGAAGUGAGAUAAUUGAAUUGAAUACAAGAAACCAAAUUAUUAUUACUACUGCGAAAAGUAAGCAAUAAUAAUUACACAACACACACACACACACAAAAUUAAGAAGG